UACGUAGGGUGCAAGCGUUGUCCGGAAUUAUUGGGCGUAAAGAGCUUGUAGGCGGUUUGUCGCGUCUGCUGUGAAAUUUCGGGGCUCAACCCCGAACUUGCAGUGGGUACGGGCAGACUAGAGUGUGGUAGGGGAGACUGGAAUUCCUGGUGUAGCGGUGAAAUGCGCAGAUAUCAGGAGGAACACCGAUGGCGAAGGCAGGUCUCUGGGCCACUACUGACGCUGAGAAGCGAAAGCGUGGGGAGCGAACAGGAUUAGAACC
rnacentral:rRNA from 1 species